GGACCCGUAGCCUAGCCAGGAUAUGGCGGCAGCCUCCUAAGCUGCAGGUCGCGGGUUCGAAUCCCGCCGGGUCCG
rnacentral:tRNA from 1 species